rnacentral:rRNA from 1 species
UAGGGAAUCUUCCGCAAUGGACGCAAGUCUGACGGAGCAACGCCGCGUGAGUGAAGAAGGAUUUCGGUUCGUAAAACUCUGUUGUUAGAGAAGAACAGCGCAUAGAGUAACUGUUAUGCGUGUGACGGUAUCUAACCAGAAAGCCACGGCUAACUACGUGCCAGCAGCCGCGGUAGUACGUAGGUGGCAAGCGUUGUCCGGAUUUAUUGGGCGUAAAGCGAGCGCAGGCGGUCAAUUAAGUCUGAUGUGAAAGCCCCCGGCUCAACCGGGGAGGGUCAUUGGAAACUGGUUGACUUGAGUGCAGAAGAGGAGAGUGGAAUUCCAUGUGUAGCGGUGAAAUGCGUAGAUAUAUGGAGGAACACCAGUGGCGAAGGCGACUCUCUGGUCUGUUACUGACGCUGAGGUUCGAAAGCGUGGGUAGCAAACAGG